rnacentral:rRNA from 1 species
UACGGAGGGUGCGAACGUUAAUCGGAAUCACUGGGCGUAAAGCGCACGUAGGCGGCUUUCUAAGUCAGGGGUGAAAUCCUGGAGCUCAACUCCAGAACUGCCUUUGAUACUGGAAAGCUUGAGUUCGGGAGAGGUGAGUGGAACUGCGAGUGUAGAGGUGAAAUUCGUAGAUAUUCGCAAGAACACCAGUGGCGAAGGCGGCUCACUGGCCCGAUACUGACGCUGAGGUGCGAAAGCGUGGGGAGCAAACAGG